AGCAGUUGAAGAAUGUUGCAUUCCCACCCUAAUGCGUACCUGCAUUUCCAGUAUCUUCCAGCAGCAACCUUGUGAAAAGCUGGUGGAGGACUCUUGGGGAGGUUCUUUCGGACCCAGUCUAUGAGAAACUGCUUUGGAGACUUUC